UACAGGGGGUGCGAGCGUUAAUCGGAAUUACUGGGCGUAAAGCGCACGUAGGCGGACUCUUAAGUCGGUGGUGAAAUCCUGGAGCUCAACUCCAGAACUGCCUUCGAUACUGGGAGUCUCGAGUCCGGGAGAGGUGAGUGGAACUGCGAGUGUAGAGGUGAAAUUCGUAGAUAUUCGCAAGAACACCAGUGGCGAAGGCGGCUCACUGGCCCGGUACUGACGCUGAGGUGCGAAAGCGUGGGGAGCAAACAGG
rnacentral:rRNA from 1 species